CGGGAAUCCAUUUAAAAAACAAAGCAAACCCUAAACGCUCCUGUGUUCGACAUUCGACAGAGACAAAACCUUCCUUCUCCAAAUCUCCACCGCCAGUCCGCCACAGCCCACAAACGGCCGGCCAAGUUCCAUACUUCCUCAGUUCCUCUUCGUCGCUCACAGACAUUCGACAUUCGUCGCUCAAUUCCAUACAUCUGACUGUUCUUCCUCUUCUUCGCUACCCCUACUGCUACUCGCUUCCUCUUCCUCUUCUCUUCAAUUCCAUACUUCGACUAUGAACUAAUGAAUUUCACAACACAGGGAUAGUAAGAAUGGCAGCUUUUAAUGACGUCUUUGAGAAGCAUGUUCCUUCAAUCUAGCCAACAUCAAAAAAUUCUGAUUCAUCCUUCUAUAAAUCAUCUAAAAGGUAGGUCUAGAGGAAUUGUCGGAAUUAUUGUCAGAUAUUCACUUGAUACAAUAAGAAUCUGACAAAAAAAUUCAAAUACGGGUGGUUCUGCAAUGAGUAUUUUAUGUCGAGUUAUAGCAACGAAAAGGGGUAGGAAUCGGGUUCUCGAGUGGUGAAACACCAGUUUCAAUAAGUGAGAGGCCAGAGUCUGUGGUGUUCUAUGCCUCAAGGUGGUAAUGAUCUCAAGCGCAUUCGCUUUAGAUUAUUCGAACGACGUGACGUUCGGAUUUUGCCCCCCCAAAUUGAAAUUCCUGGGUCCGCCACUGCCUCCAAGUAGUGACAAUGGUGAUGACGACGAUGAUGGUGAUGGUCAUGGGGAGGGAGAUGAAGGAUUUAAGACAUUUUUCAGAACAACCAAGUGAUAGGUUUCAAGGUCAAUCAUCAUUCAUUUGUGAAGCACACUAUGCACAAACAUUCCAGAGGCGUAAGAGAGAUGUAGGACAAUCUUCACGCGACCCUGUAGAAAAUGUUGAUCUAUCGCGUGACUUUUCUGCACAUCUGUUUCCUUCUGAUUCUGAAUCACAAGGGUCGAACAACGAUAGUUAUAAUGGUGUACUACUACCAUUUUCUUUAUCUCUAAAUGUUUAUCCACCUCAUCUACCAUUUCAAUUUGACAUUCAAAAUCAAUAUGGCUCCAUCAUCAGCAACCCUAACCCCCGACACCCUGAAAAUAUUCACAUUAUGAACCAUGAGACAAUGCAUUAUGGUGGAGAGAGUACAUUAUCAUCAACCUACAAUUUAUGAAAGUAGCUCCGGCUCAAGUUAGAAUGGAUGUUGCAGGUACAUUUUUUUUGGAGGCUAUCAAGGAGCUCAAAAUGAUGAAAAUGAGAGUAAUGCCAAUCAAGAUCCUCCUUGACAUUCGUUUUGGUAUUAAGUUAUAAUGUUGGCUCAAAAGUCUUGUUGUUCAAUAAAAAAAUAUUAUAUUUUCCCAAGCAUAAGUUUGUAAUAGUUUAAAUGUUAAUAUAUCUAUUUAAUUAUAGCACAAUUUAUGUUCAUUUU